rnacentral:rRNA from 1 species
GGCUCAGUAACAUGUAGUCAAUCUGCCCUUAGGACGGGAAUACCCUCGGGAAACUGAGGUUAAAUCCCGAUGCUCCAUCUGUGCUGGAAUGCUUGAUGGGGAAAAAACGCGGCGAAUCGUAGCCGUUAGUGCCUAAGGAUGAGACUGCACCUGAUCAGGUAGUUGGUGAGGUAACGGCUCACCAAGCCGAUAAUCAGUAGGGGCAAUGGGAGUUGGCGCCCCGAGAAGGGCACUGAGACAAGGGCCCUAGUCCUACGGGAUGCAGCAGGCGCCAAACCU